rnacentral:lncRNA from 1 species
UUCUGGUCAAUAUAUUGGUCUGAUGAAAAGACCAUAUAAUAUAUUCUCAUGAAACUAAAACUUUCCCAGUAUAGAGACAGCAGACAGGUAAUGCUCAAUAGAGGAGUCUCUUCCAUAGACAUCACAGCUGGAAAUGUGCUGAGUCAUAUCUGAAGCCAGGAUGUUUCUGAGUCUCACCCAGGGCCCACAAUGACUAUUUCACCUGACUUUCAGCUUAAUGACGUGGCUUCCUGCUUGACGUGGAAAGUGGAAGCACUCAGAGGAAGAUGGCCAGACUCCCCACACCACAUUUUCCUUCUUACAGUCGUCUAUGUUGACACAUUCUGCCUUCCAUCUACAGGCAUUCCUUGGAGAUAUUGCAG